GUUUGGAUAAUUGAUUAUUCGGUUAAUUGAUUUCCUCUGGGGCUCAGAAGUCUGCUCCCUGUUCAGGAGAUUAGGCAGCAGCACGCUGAGAGAGCCGGUCCCAACCAACCCCUAACCCAUCCACACCCCCAGCCCCACACCCCCAACCCCCGUUCCAAACUCUUUCCCUUCCCCCCAUCCCCCUGUUUCUGGGGCAACUGGACUGGACACCUACAGCAAGACUCCUGCUGCCUUUGUGGGGAUUGUGUGCAGCAUCAGGACAGGCAGACGUUGGUUGGUGGAAAUCCAGCUCCUGAUGAAGGAGUAAGGAAUGUUCCUGAAGAACAAGUAAUCAAUGUGCCCAGAGAUGCCCUCCUAUUGGUGUUGUGCGUGAACGGCAGAAACAGUUGUCUACAGAUGUCUCAGGACAGAUCCCAGUUGAAGGAAAAGACAUUUAUGAAUGUGCAAUAAUUUGUUGGAAGGAAGCCAGUUCUGGCUGUGCCACCCUGGGCAAGAGACUUUGGUGGAGAGAGAACAGUAAUUCUUCACCAGGGUCUGGUGUUUGUAAGGAUAUUCCUGCGGCAAAAUCAAUAGCCCGAGGAUGAAUUUUUUUGGUGUUUGAAAGUAAAUUUUUCCUCUUUUGC